GAUACAACAAUGUUUGGAACAUAUACAGUCGUAUGUUCAGCGAAUGGCGUUAAUAUGUAAGAUGGAAUACUGUUUUGCACACACGAGACUGAAAAAACUUUGCGUUGUGGUUUAUUUAAGUUCCUAGUCGAUGCUAAGGUAAAGAAGCUGCUGUAGGUACGACACAAAGGUAUGAAACCUGCUGAAGCAGAAGCGUCCGCUUCAUACGUAUAUAUGGGAACUGAAGUUGAUGUUGAGACUGCAAUCAAUACAUGUGUACAGUUCCUGUACCAGACAACAAUGAAGUGCAUCUAUAUGAUCACGAGUAUACAACAUCAAACUCUCAACAUUGUAAAGGUACAGUGUGUGAUACAAGUAUUAUCAAUACCAGAUACUAGUACACCAGACCAGGAAGUUACAACUAUUGUUAAGUAAGUAAGUAAGUAAUUUUUAUUUAAAGUCGAAAGUAUAUACAUGUAAACAAUAAACAUGAGCUAAGAGCUCUUUAACCGACUAUAUAGUAUUAAAAAAACACAAAGCACUAAUGAUUUAUAAUUGCAUGCAUAGACAUAAAAACAGAAAUUUGAAAUAAAACAGGACGCAUACAUGUAUACAGACAUCACAAGUCAUGCAUAUAUAUACACAGGGACUAGCUAUAUUAAGAUGCGCAUGCAGCACUGAAAACAGUUUGCAACACAAACAUAAAAAUAUGGAUAUAUACAUAGACUAAAUAAAUAUGCAUAGCUAAGAGAUUGUUGUUAAGUUUAGUGUCUGGUGGUUUUAUUUAAUUCACUCUCACUUCAGUGUUAUAUAAACGAUACAUACCAAAGACUAUAAUCUUAUUGUUUUUGUUCUCACAGCUUUCUUUGAAGAUUUGGAUGUUGUAAACUUGCCGUGAGAAAAACAAAACCUGCUUAAGCUAAGGCAACUGUCCAUGACAAUUGGGAACAUCAUAAAAAGAUCCUGAAAAGGGAUCAUGAAAGCUGUUGAAGUGUCGUGUCAACUGAAAAUGCCACUAAUCCAUGCCAAAGUCAUUUGAAGAAUUUUUAUAUGCGAGAAUUACAAUAGACCCAACAGAUUUGACCCAAUAUGUCCCAAUAGAUAUGAAGCUUACAGUAAUUACAUGAGUCGCCAAACAGAAAAAAGGCUUUAAUGUGUGAGGCACCUAAUACAACUCUUGUGCUUUGUUCCAAUCUGUAUGUUGGAUACAAAUCUCAAUUGGCAAUUAUGGACCAUUGUGGUAUUUAAAUAAGUUGCAAAUUGGUGUUAUGAUCCUGGAGGACAAAGGAAUUUAGUAUAUUUGACAAAUUUCCAAAUGGCAUAACAUUUAAUAUUGCACUCUUCCUUACAAAUAAAUCCCACUUCCCAGAAGAGGAUGCACAGCUUUGAAAGUUGUAGAAGCAGAAUCCACGUAAGAUGGGCAAAUUAUAGAAUACGAGAAUAUUUAAAAGGUCUUUGAACUUCUUAGCCAUAUUUCAUCGCAGAAUAGAUAUCGAUCUAACAAAACAGAUUAGCUUUGUGUGGCCCAUGUGAAUUAGCAGGCUCAUCUUUUGAAUGAGAUUGCAGAUAAAUAUAAUAUUGAACUUGUCGGAAGAUCUUAAAAUCUCAGUAGAUUAAUCGCACGUACAUCUUGAAUCUACAUAAAUCUGCCACAUCGAAACUAUAUUAUGUAUAUGAUAUUUUCAAAGUCAAAAGUAAUGAACAUUUCUCAUAUCAAAUACAUCCUAAAUCAAAGACAAGACUUUCUGAGAUCAAAAAUGGAAAUAUCCAUGUUCAGUGAUCAGUCCUCCAAAACAUUAUUUUGUUAAACACCACUCUCAUUCCACGCACAAGUACUCUGAAAUUGAAAUAAAAAUAUGCUAGAGCUCUUCGUGGUCUUUGGUGAUAAGGUCUUCUAACAGUCUGUUGGAAUUCCCAUGGGCACGAAGUGUGUUCCUUUGUUAGCUGACCUUUUUAUAUAUUUUUAUGAAGCGGAAUUUAUUCGAAAAGUUAUACGUCAGAAGAAAAAAUAUCUUGCUGUGGCCUUCAAUUCUACAUCUAGAUAUAUCGACGACGUAUUAUCUACUAACAUUAAUAAUUUUCAUUCAUAUGUCGAUUCGAUAUAUCCCAGUGAACUCGAAAGAAAAGACACCACAGAGUAGUCUACGUAUGUUUCAUACUUACAUAUUUUAAUGGAAAUAGAUAUUGACGGCAAACUAACAACUCAACUUUAUGACAAACGGGAGAUGAAAGGUGAAGAUAAUGAACAGUGAUUAAUCUCAGAAACCCCAUAAGCAAAACAAAAUAGAUAGUUGGGCAAACACGGACCCCUGGACACACCACAGAUGGGAUCAUGUGUCUAUGAGGAGUAAGUAUCCCCUAUCAACCGGUCACAUCCGCUGUAAGCCCUGUGUCUUGAUCAGGUAAAACUGAUCAUACGCAGAACAAGCUCUUCGAUACUCAAGAGCUUGUUCUCCGUAUGGUCAAUUUUAAAACACGUUGAUGGUAAUGGGGAUUCAAUAGUCUGGUUUAAAGUCAGCAUUUUGCAAAAUCUAUAGUCGUUAUAACAAUCUAGUUUGUCAAUACAUCCUGCCAUGGGGUCAAAUGCUGUCUGCCGUGUUUCAUACCGAUUGUCAGACCGUUCUUGGCACACUGAUUUUGACUACCGAUAACUCAGUUUUCCUGAUCAAGACAUAGGGCUCACACUGGGUGUGACCGUCGACAGGGGAUGUUUACUCCACCUCUGGUGUGUCCAGCGGUCCGUGUGUGCCAAGAGCUACCACUACAGUCCUAAACUAAAAGCGGUAAAUGAUAGCCCUAGGGGUACUCUACCUCUGGUGUUUCGUGUGCCUUGUAGGCAAAGAUUACAGAUCUAAAAGCAGUCAUCAAACCCUUUUAUUCUCUAUGAGAUACGAAAAAGUCAAAUUUCAGGCGAACUAAACAAUACUUCCGGAUGUCAUAGAGCUCUUGUGUGCACGACAUGGAGUACUCAUUAGGAUCCCCAACUCCAAGCAAUGUACAAUCUGCCCCUUCCUCCCUACCCUUCAAAGAGUAGAAAUAAGGACCCUAAUUCUGUCCCGACUCCCAGGAGCCACCGGGUGGUACCACUGCAGCCUCAAACUGAAAGCGACAAAUGAUAGCCCUGGGGUUCUCUGCCUUGCUCUGAUGUCUCAAAAGUUUACAGCUUUAAACCAGUCAUCAAACCCAUUUAUUCUCUAUGAGAUACGAAAAAUAUCAAAGUUCAGACGAGCUAAACAAUAUUUUCAGGUAUGGCAGACCUCUUGUCUGCAUGGCCCGUAGUAUUCUUUAGGAUCCCCACUCCAACCAGUGAACAUUUUGUCUCUUCCUUACACCACAGAAUAGAAAUAGUUCCGACCCCCAGAAGCCACCGAGUGGUCCCAUAUAUUGUUCCGUUGUUCGGCCUGCCUUGUCAUCAAAGAUUAGCGGCAUGAGAGGCCGUCAUGAAACCCUGUAUUCAGUAGGUCAGGCGGAAUGUCAAAGUGCAGGUGAGCUAAUCCGCAGUUUUUGAUAGCACUGGCCGGAUGGAGGUAUUAUUCCCCAAAUAUUACAGAGGAAGUGUUUGUUUCAUUAUUUAAUACUGCUUCCUUAUAACACUUUCUCAAAAUAUUUCUUUUGUUAGAAGGCAAUGCUUAUCACUCUUCAGGUGACCUAAUUCACAGAAAAGGUUUUUGAAUGCAAUUGGAUUUAAAAUGGAUUGGCACAUGAAAAUAGGACCAGUCUUGAGAUGAUAAAGCACUCCACUUCAUAUAGUUUUCCCUAUCAUAUAAAUCUAUUCAUUGGUACUUAAUGACUAAGAUCGUAAUAGUCUGGUGAGUUAAAUCAUCAAUUUACUUUCAUACAUGUAAGGUUGUAAAAUUAGUUGUUCAAAAAAGAUCAGAAUCUGAAAAGUGUGGCUAAUUUUAUUUGCUUCCAUCCUUUCAUUACAAAUUACUGACUUAAAUUCAAUUCACCAUUAACGUCAAAUGUGCAACCUGUCAUGUGAUCUAAGCCGCUCAAAACAUGAAUUUAAUUCAAAUUUCCAUUUAAUAUAGGUUUCAAAUUAAAUAUUUUUCUAUUAAUACUCUCAGUCCUUUGAUGAUUUUCCUAAGUGGCUGCUAGCUUCUAUAGGCUUAUUGGCUGCUGGUGAGUGACUGAUAGCUUCAGCCUGGUGAAAAUUUAAAACGCAACGAAGAAUUGCAUCACACACAACUCCCUAGUAUUUAUCAUAUAUAGCACAUUUUCGAGUUAGUGCCGGAGCGCGUGUUUAUUCUAGAUUUUAUAUAACGUGAUCACGUGAUUUCAAGAUUUGGUUAGCCUUCGAUACUUCCGGUAAAAUAGCAUCUGUUGGGAAGAAACGAAGGGAUCAAAAGCAAGAUACUACUGCUCAAGGUGAGGACUCGUGGAAGAUGGGAAAGUAUGGUUAUACAAAAAACAUUAUAUUCUAUCCCUUUCUGGCACAGACAAAAGAUCCGAAAAGCGUGAUUAAAGUUGAUGAAACAAAUAGAUUACGAACCUUCGAAACAUCAUGGACUUGUACUAGUUAUAGACUGUACUCCAAACACUUCGUAGAUUGAACGCCUACAAAGGAAAACCCCUACCUGACUGUUUGCCAACAACAACUAUAAACAGCCUUUGAAGUUGAAAAGUACGAGUUAUUUCGACAAGCGGGACGUCGAGCCAUCCAUCUCACAGUAGCAUGAACUGGUUUGUAAUUUAUAUUUUACAAAUUAAUUCAAUGACUGUUCACUAUUAAUUCCCAUACAUGUAUAUAUAUAUACAUUCUGAAUAUGUUUAUAAAGUUUGUUCAACAAAUUAUAAAAAAUUGCAUUCGACAUAGUGGAACACUGCGAAAAACAGUGUUGGUGGUGCUAGGAGGGGGGGGGUCUCAAUUUUAUAUGCGAGGAAAUAGACUCAUUAGAUACUAUAUUUGGGUAGCAACCUAAUGGAGUGUAAUAUAACUGCUUUCAUUUAAAGCUUUAUUUAACCUAUAUGCUUCAGUAAUGUUUCGUUUGGUAUAAAAACGUUUUUGAAAUCAGACCCCCCCCCCCAUUUUUUCAAGUGAAGUAGAGACAAAUGCGGUGUCGAAGUGCCGCCCCCUUGGUUGCACAUUAAAACACUGGUAUUAUGUUUAAAAUAUUCAGUACAGCCACAAAAUUUAUUUUCAUUAUUCUUUUUCCAGAUAUUGAAACUUUGUUUUAGUGAUGAUAAUUAUUCCACUAAUCGCAAUUAUAUUGGUUUCUCGUCACCUCGAAACAUCAAGAAAACAGCUGAAAUGGAAGUACAGACCGAUAUAAGAAUGGAAGAAAUGACAGAGCUCCUGGAUUUGAAGUCGAAAUCCUAGAACCCUGAUGUUGUUUGUCCAGAGAGUCGCGUGUACACCCAGUGACGGGAGCGUGAAACAGCAUACUGGAGUGUCAUUGAAUAUUUGCACUUUCCAUUAUCGCAACAAUAGAUUCUAGAUCGAUUAGAGAAUAUUCAUGAAAAUGUGGGAGCAUUUUUUAUAAAGUGUAUUAUAAUUUAAUGAUAGAAUGUUGUCAUUUAUGUUCUAAUGAACCGUUAUGCGCUGGAAAAUUGAACGUGUUUUAAGUUUCAAAUGCAAACUAGUGCUACUGUAAUUUCAAAUAAAGUUUAUUAUCUAUCUUCUAA